CAAAACAGUUAGGGAUAAUUCCUAUAGAACCUAAGUGUAUCGAUUCUUAUCUUUCUUCUGAGAAUUUGCGAUGUUGUACCUCGUAUAGAACGAUUGGAGGAAAAUGUUACCCAUGCAUAGGGUCAUUUGGAUUAGAAUGCAGCAAACCGUGUCCUGAAGGAUAUUAUGGCCUUAAAUGUCAGGAAAAAUGCGAGUGUGACAGGUGCAAUGCUACAACAGGAAACUGUUUUCAUGAAAGAAAUUCAUCAAGUAAUGUAAGAGGUAUAGAGCAGAAUUUAUUACUCAGUAAAAAGAUAUUAA